rnacentral:rRNA from 1 species
AGAGUUUGAUCCUGGCUCAGAACGAACGCUGGCGGCACGUUUUAAGCAUGCAAGUCGAAUGGUAUAGGGGGCAACUCCUAGAGAAUGGCGAACGGGUGAGUAACGCGUAGAUGAUCUGCCUUGAGGUUGGGGAUAGCUUGUGGAAACACAAGGUAAUACCGAAUAAGGUUCACUGGCUUUGGCUGGAGAAAGAAAGGGGCGUUUGCCCCGCCAUGAGAUGAGUCUGCGUCUGAUUAGCUAGUUGGUGAGGUAACUGCUCACCAAGGCGACGAUCAGUAGCCGGCCUGAGAGGGUGUACGGCCACACUGGAACUGAGACACGGUCCAGACUCCUACGGGAGGCAGCAGCUAAGAAUCUUCCGCAAUGGGGGCAACCCUGACGGAGCGAUGCCGCGUGAUUGAAGAAGGUCGAGAGAUUGUAAAGAUCUUUUCUGGGUGAGGAAUAAGUGUGGUAGGAAAUGACUGCAUGAUGACGUUAACCCAGGAAUAAGCCCCGGCCAAUUACGUGCCAGCAGCCGCGGUAACACGUAAGGGGCGAGCGUUGUUCGGAAUUAUUGGGCGUAAAGGGCGUGCAGGCGGCUUUACAAGUCUGUUGUGAAAUCCCGGGGCUUAACUCCGGAUCCGCGAUGGAAACUGUAAGGCUUGAAUCUUGGAGGGGGAGUUGGAAUUCCUAGUGUAGGGGUGAAAUCUGUUGAUAUUAGGAAGAACACCGGUGGCGAAGGCGAACUCCUGGCCGAAGAUUGACGCUGAGGCGCGAAAGCGUAGGUAGCAAACAGGAUUAGAUACCCUGGUAGUCC